AUAUUCAUGAAAAUAUGAUGAUAAAACAGUGAAUUAGUGAUGGCGUGAAAUAUUUGGCACGUGCUUGCAUGUGAAAGGGUAAUGCAAUUAGAAAAAAAAUACUACUAUAUAAUGUGAUUCAACAAAAGACAAUGUGAAUUGGAUCAUGGGCUUCGCCAAUAUGACAAACAAAAGUCAAGCAUAACGGGAUAAAAUUACCCUUCGAAGAAUUUAUUGAAAUCCUAAAAUAUUUUUACCUAUAGCGUGAUCAAGUAUGCACGCAUCUCGCUAUCAGUUGUUCACAUGCCAAUGGAUUGAAGCCUUCAAACUACUCUUGGUUAAUUAUACUAGGCGACUAAAUUGGACACCAAGCACUUUUAGACAAAAAGAAUCAAUAGGGCCACUUUACUUCAAGAGGAUUUCAGUGCAUGAAAUAGAAUAAACAUUUUAGGUGGCAACAACAUAAUAGUGGAUGUCUAAUCAGUCAAAACACAUAGGGGGAAUCAAACCAACCACAACCAAUGGCAUCAUUACAUGAAUAAAUCCAAAGCAAAAUAAUUGGAUAUAAUGUGAAAGUGUUUUGGGAUUGCAAAGUCAAAAAAGGAAUAAAGGAAAAAUAAUUAGGAUGAAAUUUUGGUGGGAAUAGAACUGAGAGUCAAAUGUGAGCUUUAAGGGGUCAAAAGAAAAAUCCAACUGCAGUUUUAACCAUGAACGUUCUUAUCAUUGUCCCCUUUGAAACAAGAAAGGUCUGUUCAUUCUCUAUCCAUGUCCAUGUCGCUGCAAAUAUCGGCUCACUAGGAGGGCAUGUUUUGUCUUGUGUGUA
rnacentral:misc_RNA from 1 species